CGGGAAACCGGAGCUAAUACGGAUAAUAUAUUGAACCGCAUGGUUCAAUAGUGAAAGACGGUUUUGCUGUCACUUAUAGAUGGAUCCGCGCCGCAUUAGCUAGUUGGUAAGGUAACGGCUUACCAAGGCAACGAUGCGUAGCCGACCUGAGAGGGUGAUCGGCCACACUGGAACUGAGACACGGUCCAGACUCCUACGGGAGGCAGCAGCU
rnacentral:rRNA from 1 species